rnacentral:rRNA from 1 species
CCUACGGGAGGCAGCAGUGAGGAAUAUUGGUCAAUGGGCGCGAGCCUGAACCAGCCAAGUAGCGUGAAGGAUGACUGCCCUACGGGUUGUAAACUUCUUUUAUAAAGGAGUAAAGUGAGGCACGUGUGCCUUUUUGUAUGUACUUUAUGAAUAAGGAUCGGCUAACUCCGGGCCAGCAGCCGCGGUAAUACGGAGGAUCUGAGCGUUAUCCGGAUUUAUUGGGUGUCAAGGGAGAGUAGAUGGGAUGUUAAGUCAGUUGUGAAAGUUUUCGGCUUAACCGUAAAAUUGCAAUUGAUACUGGCAGUCUUGAGUACAGUUGAGGUAGGCGGAAUGCGUGGUGUAGCGGUGAAAUGCUUAGAUAUCACGAAGAACUCCGAUGGCGAAGGCAGCUUACUAAACUGACACUGACAUUGAUGCUCGAAAGUGUGGGUAUCGAACAGGAUUAGAUACCCCUGUAGUC